rnacentral:rRNA from 1 species
AUUGAACGCUGGCGGAACUGCUUUACGACAUGCAAAGUCGAGCGGCAGCGCGGGGGCAACCCUGGCGGCGAGCGGCGAACGGGGUGAGGUAACAUAUCGGAACGUACCCAGUCGUGGGGGAUAACUAUCCGAAAGGAUAGCUAAUACCGCAUACGUCCUGAGGGAGAAAGCGGGGGAUCGCAAGACCGUCGCCGCGAUUGGGACGCGGCCGAUAUCGGAUUAGCGUAGUUGGUGGGGUAAAGGCUCACCAAGGCGACGAUCCGUAGCGGGUCUGAGAGGACGACCCGCCACACUGGAACCUGAGACACGGUCCAGACUCCUACGGGAGGCAGCAGUGGGGAAUUUUUGGACAAUGGGGGCAACCCCUGAUCCAGCCAUUCCGCGUGAGUGAAGAA